rnacentral:rRNA from 1 species
GGUUAAGCGACUAAGCGUACACGGUGGAUGCCCUGGCAGUCAGAGGCGAUGAAGGACGUGCUAAUCUGCGAUAAGCGUCGGUAAGGUGAUAUGAACCGUUAUAACCGGCGAUUUCCGAAUGGGGAAACCCAGUGUGUUUCGACACACUAUCAUUAACUGAAUCCAUAGGUUAAUGAGGCGAACCGGGGGAACUGAAACAUCUAAGUACCCCGAGGAAAAGAAAUCAACCGAGAUUCCCCCAGUAGCGGCGAGCGAACGGGGAGGAGCCCAGAGCCUGAAUCAGUGUGUGUGUUAGUGGAAGCGUCUGGAAAGGCGCGCGAUACAGGGUGACAGCCCCGUACACAAAAAUGCACAUGCUGUGAGCUCGAUGAGUAGGGCGGGACACGUGGUAUCCUGUCUGAAUAUGGGGGGACCAUCCUCCAAGGCUAAAUACUCCUGACUGACCGAUAGUGAACCAGUACCGUGAGGGAAAGGCGAAAAGAACCCCGGCGAGGGGAGUGAAAAAGAACCUGAAACCGUGUACGUACAAGCAGUGGGAGCCUCUUUAUGGGGUGACUGCGUACCUUUUGUAUAAUGGGUCAGCGACUUAUAUUCUGUAGCAAGGUUAACCGAAUAGGGGAGCCGAAGGGAAACCGAGUCUUAACUGGGCGUUAAGUUGCAGGGUAUAGACCCGAAACCCGGUGAUCUAGCCAUGGGCAGGUUGAAGGUUGGGUAACACUAACUGGAGGACCGAACCGACUAAUGUUGAAAAAUUAGCGGAUGACUUGUGGCUGGGGGUGAAAGGCCAAUCAAACCGGGAGAUAGCUGGUUCUCCCCGAAAGCUAUUUAGGUAGCGCCUCGUGAAUUCAUCUCCGGGGGUAGAGCACUGUUUCGGCAAGGGGGUCAUCCCGACUUACCAACCCGAUGCAAACUGCGAAUACCGGAGAAUGUUAUCACGGGAGACACACGGCGGGUGCUAACGUCCGUCGUGAAGAGGGAAACAACCCAGACCGCCAGCUAAGGUCCCAAAGUCAUGGUUAAGUGGGAAACGAUGUGGGAAGGCCCAGACAGCCAGGAUGUUGGCUUAGAAGCAGCCAUCAUUUAAAGAAAGCGUAAUAGCUCACUGGUCGAGUCGGCCUGCGCGGAAGAUGUAACGGGGCUAAACCAUGCACCGAAGCUGCGGCAGCGACGCUUAUGCGUUGUUGGGUAGGGGAGCGUUCUGUAAGCCUGCGAAGGUGUGCUGUGAGGCAUGCUGGAGGUAUCAGAAGUGCGAAUGCUGACAUAAGUAACGAUAAAGCGGGUGAAAAGCCCGCUCGCCGGAAGACCAAGGGUUCCUGUCCAACGUUAAUCGGGGCAGGGUGAGUCGACCCCUAAGGCGAGGCCGAAAGGCGUAGUCGAUGGGAAACAGGUUAAUAUUCCUGUACUUGGUGUUACUGCGAAGGGGGGACGGAGAAGGCUAUGUUGGCCGGGCGACGGUUGUCCCGGUUUAAGCGUGUAGGCUGGUUUUCCAGGCAAAUCCGGAAAAUCAAGGCUGAGGCGUGAUGACGAGGCACUACGGUGCUGAAGCAACAAAUGCCCUGCUUCCAGGAAAAGCCUCUAAGCAUCAGGUAACAUCAAAUCGUACCCCAAACCGACACAGGUGGUCAGGUAGAGAAUACCAAGGCGCUUGAGAGAACUCGGGUGAAGGAACUAGGCAAAAUGGUGCCGUAACUUCGGGAGAAGGCACGCUGAUAUGUAGGUGAAGCGACUUGCUCGUGGAGCUGAAAUCAGUCGAAGAUACCAGCUGGCUGCAACUGUUUAUUAAAAACACAGCACUGUGCAAACACGAAAGUGGACGUAUACGGUGUGACGCCUGCCCGGUGCCGGAAGGUUAAUUGAUGGGGUUAGCGGUAACGCGAAGCUCUUGAUCGAAGCCCCGGUAAACGGCGGCCGUAACUAUAACGGUCCUAAGGUAGCGAAAUUCCUUGUCGGGUAAGUUCCGACCUGCACGAAUGGCGUAAUGAUGGCCAGGCUGUCUCCACCCGAGACUCAGUGAAAUUGAACUCGCUGUGAAGAUGCAGUGUACCCGCGGCAAGACGGAAAGACCCCGUGAACCUUUACUAUAGCUUGACACUGAACAUUGAGCCUUGAUGUGUAGGAUAGGUGGGAGGCUUUGAAGUGUGGACGCCAGUCUGCAUGGAGCCGACCUUGAAAUACCACCCUUUAAUGUUUGAUGUUCUAACGUUGGCCCCUGAUCGGGGUUGCGGACAGUGUCUGGUGGGUAGUUUGACUGGGGCGGUCUCCUCCUAAAGAGUAACGGAGGAGCACGAAGGUUGGCUAAUCCUGGUCGGACAUCAGGAGGUUAGUGCAAUGGCAUAAGCCAGCUUGACUGCGAGCGUGACGGCGCGAGCAGGUGCGAAAGCAGGUCAUAGUGAUCCGGUGGUUCUGAAUGGAAGGGCCAUCGCUCAACGGAUAAAAGGUACUCCGGGGAUAACAGGCUGAUACCGCCCAAGAGUUCAUAUCGACGGCGGUGUUUGGCACCUCGAUGUCGGCUCAUCACAUCCUGGGGCUGAAGUAGGUCCCAAGGGUAUGGCUGUUCGCCAUUUAAAGUGGUACGCGAGCUGGGUUUAGAACGUCGUGAGACAGUUCGGUCCCUAUCUGCCGUGGGCGCUGGAGAACUGAGGGGGGCUGCUCCUAGUACGAGAGGACCGGAGUGGACGCAUCACUGGUGUUCGGGUUGUCAUGCCAAUGGCACUGCCCGGUAGCUAAAUGCGGAAGAGAUAAGUGCUGAAAGCAUCUAAGCACGAAACUUGCCCCGAGAUGAGUUCUCCCUGAGACUUUAAGUCUCCUGAAGGAACGUUGAAGACGACGACGUUGAUAGGCCGGGUGUGUAAGCGCAGCGAUGCGUUGAGCUAACCGGUACUAAUGAACCGUGAGGCUUAACCUU